AAAAAGAAGGAGUAAGGAAUCUGCAGGAAAUAACAAUGACAUGUGGGGUAGAAUUUCAUGUCUUCCUAUCUUUAACACCAGAGGUAGUUGGUGGCUAAACCAACUACAGUAGAGAAUUUGGCUGCCUGAGUCUGAAUAGUCAUUCAGCAUAACAGAAAAGGCAAAGCAAAUUCAAAACAGUGUUUUCUAUUUUAACACUCUUUCAUAGUUUAUUAGAAAGCCCUGCCAAUUUAAAAAUGGAAAGCAUAUGAUUGAUUCAUUGCAGAAGGCCCAUUUUUCAACAUUAAGGACUGGAACCAGCAAUUCUGCACGUAUAAUCCUACUAAGCAUGUUGAACUGCAGAGGCUCUACACUAGCACCUCCAAAUUGUUGUCCCAUGGAUCACCAUGAAUGGAAUGCUGU